UACGUAGGGUGCAGGCGUUUAAUCGGAAUGACUGGGCGUAAAGGGCGCGUAGGCGGUUCGUACAGUCAGACGUGAAAUUCCCGGGCUCAACCUGGGGGCUGCGUUUGAUACGUACGGGCUUGAGUUCGGAAGAGGGUCGUGGAAUUCCCAGUGUAGAGGUGAAAUUCGUAGAUAUUGGGAAGAACACCGGUGGCGAAGGCGGCGACCUGGUCCGAUACUGACGCUGAGGCGCGAAAGCGUGGGGAGCAAACAGG
rnacentral:rRNA from 1 species